rfam:Gossypium raimondii Chr11_contig_727, whole genome shotgun sequence.
AAUCCGUGAUGUGGACAUUUCUGAACCAACACCUUAAAAUGCUAUCAUGCUUCGUGAAAAAUUUCUCCCUCUAACUGUUUGAACAUAGAAAUCUCCCUUCUUAGUUG